GACGAACGCUGGCGGCGUGCUUAGCACAUGCAAGUCGAACGGGUCUGCCCUGUUUUUUGCGGGGUGGGUCAGUGGCGAACGGGUGAGUAACACGUGAGUAACCUGCCCCUCACUUCUGGAUAACCGCUUGAAAGGGUGGCUAAUACGGGGUGUUCUGGCUGUGCCGCAUGGUGUGGCUGGGAAAGAUUCACUUUUGUGGUGUUUUGGUGGGGGAUGGGCUCGCGGCCUAUCAGCUUGUUGGUGGGGUGAUGGCCUGCCAAGGCUUUGACGGGUAGCCGGCCUGAGAGGGUGGGCGGUCACACUGGGACUGAGAUACGGCCCAGACUCCUGCGGGAGGCAGCAGUGGGGGGUAUUGCACAAUGGGCGGAAGCCUGAUGCAGCGACGUCGCGUGAGGGAUGGAGGCCUUCGGGUUGUGAACCUCUUUCGCCGGUGAAGAAGGUCCUGCUCUUUGGGGUGGGGUUGACGGUAGCCGGGUUAUGAAGCGCCGGCUAACUACGUG
rnacentral:rRNA from 1 species